rnacentral:misc_RNA from 1 species
UAUGGAAGCGGGCUUGCUCGCGAUGCAGAAAAUGCGAUCUGUCUGUUGAACCGCAGUGCCUGUAUCGCGAGCAAGCCCGCUCCCACA